ACCCAAAAAUUCUCGUACUCAUUUUUUCAACCAUUUCGUACCAGUACGAGAUGGUGGUACGAGGUGGCAUCUGGCGGUAGAGAACAGUACCGGCUGGUACGAGGUGGCUGGCAUAAUCUUCCGGCUGGUACGAGUUGGCUGGCAGAAGUUUCCGGCUGGUACGAGAUGACUGGCAGAAAUUUCCGGCUGGUACGACAUGGCCGGCAGACAUCUGUAUCCCAGCAAUUAUGCCAUGGAAUUAUGGUUGCUGUAUUGGUGAACCACACGAUAGCAGACUAAAAAAGAUCGUUUCCUUUGUAAACAUUUCGUGUGCUGCAUAGAACAGAGCAGGCAACAUCCCAAUCCAUCAGCUUCAUGUUAUACGGCCUCAAAGCUUGUAUAUACCAGACCAGGAGGUAUUCCUCCAAUACCUAAUCAUUAUAAAGACUGAGAAAAUGCUAGCCAGAAGCAGAAAAGGCAUUAUUGCCCUCGAUUGUACUACAUGCUCUUUCUUGGAUUGUUUGUUUUCAUUAGUUAAAUCGUUGGCUGCCUCCAGUCUAAAAAUUUGGUCUCGUUGCCAAUUUAGCUUGUAGUAACUCACCACGGCCUGGACCAUGUGAUGGAUUAAGAAAGAAUUUACUAUUGCAAUAUAAAGGCAAACACAUUUAUUGGUUUAACACAUGUUUGUUCAUGUUACAGAUUCUGAAAAUACACCUCUGGGUAAGAGAAAAACAGUUUACGACAUAUUAGAUUUGAACCAAAUCAAUCGCAACAAUAUAAUAAGAAAAAUUUAGAC